ACCCUGUUGAAGAGUCCCGAAUAGGACGAAAUGUACAUCCUGGAU
rnacentral:hammerhead_ribozyme from 1 species